UACGUAGGGGGCAAGCGUUGUCCGGAUUUACUGGGCGUAAAGAGCGUGUUGGCGGCCACGCAGGUCCGUUGUGAAAACUGGAGGCUCAACCUCCAGCUGUCGACGGAAACCGUAUGGCUAGAGUCCGGAAGAGGAGAGUGGAAUUCCUGGUGUAGCGGUGAAAUGCGCAGAUAUCAGGAAGAACACCAAUGGCGAAGGCAGCUCUCUGGGACGGUACUGACGCUGAGACGCGAAAGCGUGGGGAGCGAACAGG
rnacentral:rRNA from 1 species